UACGUAGGAUGCAAGCGUUGUCCGGAAUUAUUGGGCGUAAAGCGUACGUAGGCGGUUUGUUAAGUCAGGGGUUAAAGACUGAGGCUCAACCUCAGGAGUGCCCUUGAUACUGGCAGGCUGGAGGACGGCAGAGGAAAGUGGAAUUCCCAGUGUAGCGGUGAAAUGCGUAGAUAUUGGGAGGAACACCAGUGGCGAAAGCGACUUUCUGGGCCGUUCCUGACGCUGAGGUACGAAAGCGUGGGGAGCAAACAGG
rnacentral:rRNA from 1 species